rnacentral:rRNA from 1 species
CCUACGGGCGGCAGCAGUGGGGAAUAUUUCGCAAUGGAGGCAACUCUGACCCAGCAACGCCGCGUGAGUGAUGAAGGUCUUCGGAUUGUAAAACGCUUUAAGUGGCGACGAAUAAAGUGACUGUACCCACAGAAUAAGCCUCUGCUAACUACGUGCCAGCAGCCGGGGUAAUUCGGAGGAGGCAAGCGUUAUCCGGGAAGACUGGGCGUAAAGGGUGCGUGGGUGGUUUGACAAGUGAGGUGCGUAAUUCCGGGGCUCAACUUCCGAACUACUACUAAAACUGUUGGGCUUGAGUGCGGUAGGGGUGAAUGGAAUUCCUAGUGUAGGGGUGGAAUGCGUAGAUAUUAGAAGGAACACCAGCGGCGAAAGCGGUUCACUGGACUGUAACUGACACUGAGGCACGAAAGCGUGGGGAGCAAACAGGAUUAGAUACCCUAGUAGUC